ACUGCUCAGUAACACGUAGUCAACAUGCCCAGGGGACGUGGAUAACCUCGGGAAACUGAGGAUAAACCGCGAUAGGCCAAGAUUUCUGGAAUGAAUCAUGGUUUAAAUCUAUAUGGCCCCUGGAUUGGACUGCGGCCGAUCAGGCUGUUGGUGAGGUAAUGGCCCACCAAACCUGUAACCGGUACGGGCUCUGAGAGGAGGAGCCCGGAGAUGGGCACUUAGACAAGGGCCCAGGCCCUAUGGGGCGCAGCAGGCGCGAAACCUCUGCAAUAAGCGAAAGCUUGACAGGGUUACUCUGAGUGAUUUCCGCUAAGGAAGUCUUUUGGCACCUCUAAAAAUGGUGCAGAAUAAGGGGUGGGCAAGCCUGGUGUCAGCCGCCGCGGUAAUACCAGCACCCCGAGUGGUCGGGACGAUUAUUGGGCCUAAAGCAUCCGUAGCCGGUUCUACAAGUCUUCCGUUAAAUCCACCUGCUCAACAGAUGGGCUGCGGAGGAUACUAUAGAGCUAGGAGGCGGGAGAGGCAAGCGGUACUUAGUGGGUAGGGGUAAAAUCCGUUGAUCCAUUGAAGACCACCAGUGGCGAAGGCGGCUUGCCAGAACGCACUCGACGGUGGGGGAUGAAAGCUGGGGGAGCAAACCGGAUUAGAUACCCGGGUAGUCCCAGCUGUAAACGAUGCAGACUCGGUGAUGAAUAGGCUUCGUGCCUAUUCAGUGCCGCAGGGAAGCCGUUAAGUCUGCCGCCUGGGGAGUACGGUCGCAAGACUGAAACUUAAAGGAAUUGGCGGGGGAGCA
rnacentral:rRNA from 1 species